rnacentral:rRNA from 1 species
UUACUGAGUUUUUAACUCUCCAAACCAUGUGAACUUACCACUGUUGCCUCGGUGGUCGGUGCUGGAAACAGUGCUGCCACCGGUGGACUACUAAACUCUUGUUAAUUUUUGUCAAAUCUGAAUCAAACUAAGAAAUAAGUUAAAACUUUCAACAACGGAUCUCUUGGUUCUGGCAUCGAUGAAGAACGCAGCGAAAUGCGAUAAGUAAUGUGAAUUGCAGAAUUCAGUGAAUCAUCGAAUCUUUGAACGCACAUUGCGCCCAUUAGUAUUCUAGUGGGCAUGCCUGUUCGAGCGUCAUUUCAACCCUUAAGCCUAGCUUAGUGUUGGGAGACUGCCUAAUACGCAGCUCCUCAAAACCAGUGGCGGAGUCUGUUCGUGCUCUGAGCGUAGUAAUUUUUUAUCUCGCUUCUGCAAGCCGGCCAGACGACAGCCAUAAACCGCACCCUCUCGGGGGGCACUUUUUUAAUGGUUGACCUCGGAUCAGGUAGGAAUACCCGCUGAACUUAAGCAUAUCA